rnacentral:rRNA from 1 species
AUACGUAGGGUGCGAGCGUUGUCCGGAAUUACUGGGCGUAAAGAGCUCGUAGGUGGUUUGUCGCGUCGUCUGUGAAGUUCCGGGGCUUAACUCCGGGCGUGCAGGCGAUACGGGCAUAACAUGAGUACUGUAGGGGAGAUGGGAAUUCCUGGUGUAGCGGGGAAAUGCGCAGAUAUCAGGAGGAACACCGGGGGCGAAGGCGGAUCGCUGGGGAAUAACUGACGCUGAGUCGCGAAAGCGUGGUUAGCGAACAGGAUUAGAUCCCCUGGUAGUCCAUGCCGUACACGGUGGGCGCUAGGUGUAGGGGUCUUCCACGACUUCUGAGCCGUAGCUAACGCAUUAAGCGCCCCGCCUGGGGAGUACGGCCGCAAGGCUAAAACUCAAAGGAAUUGACGGGG